rnacentral:rRNA from 1 species
UACGUAGGGGGGCAAGCGUUGUCCGGAUUUAUUGGGCGUAAAACGCUCGUAGGUGGCUACGUCAAGUCGGACGUGAAAUCUCCCGGCUUAACUGGGAGAGGUCGCUCGAUACUGGCGAGCUCGAGGCAGGUAGGGGGAAGCGGAAUUCCCGGUGUAGUGGUGGAAUGCGUAGAUAUCAGGAGGAACACCGAUGGCGAAGGCAGGUCUCUGGGCCACUACUGACGCUGAGAAGCGAAAGCAUGGGGAGCGAACAGGAUUAGAAACCCC